UUUAAGUUACAGAUGUGAAAGACCCGGGGCGUCAACCUCGGAAUAGCAUUUGUAAACUAGGCAGACUAGAGUACUGUAGAGGGGGGUAGGAAUUUCAGGUGUAGCGGUGAAAAUGCGUAGAGAUCUGAAGGAAUACCGGUGGCGAAGGCGGCCCCCUCGGACAGAUACUGACACUCAGAUGCGAAAGCGUGGGGAGCAAACAGGAUUAGAUACCCUGGUAG
rnacentral:rRNA from 1 species